ensembl:snoRNA
AAGCUACACUCUGUGUCAGUAGUCCUCAAGGACAAUGAUCUGGCUCAAUUUGAGCUUUGCAACAGGAAGAUCCAGACUCAUUUCAUCCAGCAGUGCUCCCCUGUGGUGUUGCUGCUGAAAUGUGGACUGGGACAUU